CAGAGCAGCGUGAUGGACUCGGUUCCUGCAGGAGCGUCAGUGACUCUGCAGUGCUCGGUUCUCUCUGAGAGCAGAGCAGCAGAUCUCCAAGUGCUCUGGUUCAGAGCUGCUCCAUCACAAUCCCAUCCUCAAAUCAUUUACACUCAUCACAACAGCAGCCAUCAGUGUGAGAGCAGCUCUUCUACACACACCUGUGUGUACAACUUCCCCAAGAACAUCCUCAGCCUCAAUGAUACAGGCACUUACUACUGCGCUGUGGCCAUGUGUGGGAAGAUCAUUUUUGGGAACGGGACACGAGUACAGUUAAAAACACCUUCACUCAUACAAUCUGUGUAUCCUGUAGUGAUCUUUCUCGCUGUAGCUUUGGGAGUGUGUGUGGUUGUGAUCUUUACUCAUGUCGUAAGCUAUAAAGGGAGAAACUGUGAUUACUGCAGUGUGAGAUCUCAUCAAUGUUCUGUUGUAGAGAAAACACUGAAUCAGGGCCGUUCUGCUGUUGAGGUCAAUUUCGCUGCUUUACAUUUCAAAGACAGGAAACUCAAACCUCAAGAUAGUGUGUAUUCUGAAGUGAUAUACUCCUCUUUUCCUUAGAAUAUAUUUCAGUAAUGCUUUAUAUUGAGCACGAUAUUACUGCACCCGUCGCUCACUGUUUCAUGAAUGCAUUGAUCAAUAGUAAAUCUAGAGCAAGUCUUACAUGUAUUAUUAUUAUUAACUUUUCUGUAGCUGUAAGUAGAAGAAUUCAGUGGUUUGAAGUAAAAGUAAGAGGAAAGAUCAGAUGAAAGCUCAUAACAUCUGAAAUCACUUUAAACUAUUAGGAUUGUUACAGUCCCAUGCCGAAUGUAGGUGCACUCUACAGAAUUUCUGUAAUUUCUACAAUAAAAUGUUGUGUUUAAACAAGUGUGAUCAUUUUAAUAUAUUUUACUUAUUUCAAUACAGCAACCUGAAAAAAUUAAAUUUACUGUAAAACUACGACCCAAAAGCAUUUACAUGAAGAAGCAAAGGCCUUCAUCUUUUCCUGGCUGUUAGUAA